rnacentral:rRNA from 1 species
UCUCUCGGUCAUUCACACUAGAAAGCACCAAACCCCUUCCGAUCUUUGAUUAUGGGCUGGUGAUGGCGCCGUCAGUACUGUGGUGGGGGACAAAGUGGGAAUACGACAUACCUUAGGUC